rnacentral:lncRNA from 1 species
UUUAUUGCCAGGAAAUGAGCUUGACCGCUUUACCAAUGAGCAAUGCCAGCCUUAGUAUUGAAGGUGGAAGAGUGGGUGUCACUGUUCAAGUUGCAAGAGAUAGCCCAGUCCUCAGGGUAGCCCGGGAGGCACUUGAGGGGGCCUUUCCGUGCCUGCUUUGCCACCUUCUUGAUGUCAUCCU